GCCGCCGCCCCCCGCGCCGCCGCCGCCGCGCUCGCGGAGCACCUGCCAUAAGCCAACACGCUUAAUAACUAGCCCCACGCCACGAGACCAGACUGACUGAUAAACGGGGCCUCUAGCCUACUGCGAAAGUCAUGUUCAGCUCAGCCUUUGACAACUUAGACGACUGCCUGGACAAGGUCUUUCUGGGCACUCACGGACUACAAUCAAAGCUAUUUCAUAACGUUACCUACGCGGGCCUACGCAGUGUAUUUAUUGCGGCAAGUUGUAAAUUGUUCGACACUCCAGUAAUUCAAAUGUUUUUAACAGAUGAUGUAAGGUGCAAACACAACAAAGAUUACGAAAAAAAAACAAAUAUAAUUCAAAAAUAGACUCACGCUCACC